rnacentral:rRNA from 1 species
UCAUUACCGAGUUUACAACUCCCAAACCCAAUGUGAACGUUACCAAACUGUUGCCUCGGCGGGAUCUCUGCCCCGGGUGCGUCGCAGCCCCGGACCAAGGCGCCCGCCGGAGGACCAACCAAAACUCUUAUUGUAUACCCCCUCGCGGGUUUUUUUAUAAUCUGAGCCUUCUCGGCGCCUCUCGUAGGCGUUUCGAAAAUGAAUCAAAACUUUCAACAACGGAUCUCUUGGUUCUGGCAUCGAUGAAGAACGCAGCGAAAUGCGAUAAGUAAUGUGAAUUGCAGAAUUCAGUGAAUCAUCGAAUCUUUGAACGCACAUUGCGCCCGCCAGUAUUCUGGCGGGCAUGCCUGUCCGAGCGUCAUUUCAACCCUCGAACCCCUCCGGGGGGUCGGCGUUGGGGAUCGGCCCUCCCUUAGCGGGUGGCCGUCUCCGAAAUACAGUGGCGGUCUCGCCGCAGCCUCUCCUGCGCAGUAGUUUGCACACUCGCAUCGGGAGCGCGGCGCGUCCACAGCCGUUAAACACCCAACUUCUGAAAUGUUGACC